GAGAUAUCCUGUUUGUGUCCAACCGAGCCGGCGCGUCAAAGGCGCUUGGACCAUUGUGCGUCUUCGUGUGUUGCUGCUUGGUGCUCGUCGGACGCGACGCUGAACAUCCUCCUUGAAGAUGUCAUGACCGGCUGAUAUCCUGGAGAAGUAUGAUGGUCUGAUUGCCGAAGUGAAGAUUACUCGUUCAGGAUCGAAAGACACACAAGAUGUCUGUUCUACACGUCCCUUGUACCUUGAACCUGAAUGCGAUGCCAUUAUCUUCAUGCAC
rnacentral:sRNA from 1 species